rfam:Clostridium sp. CAG:470 genomic scaffold, scf3
AAGUUUCUGAGGGCGGAACAGGCAGCCGCCACCCAUAGUUAGGAGAUGUAGGAAGGUCAACCUACCUAAACUU